rnacentral:lncRNA from 1 species
AGACUCCCAGGCUGACACGUUUUCCCAUCUGGGGAGACAGCAGAUCAGCAAGGAUCCCUGGCUCUUAUAUGGUUCUCACCACCAGGCUGCCUGCCACGAAGCAGCACAUCAUGAUGCCCCUUGCCAGAGGAUGAAUGGAUGGAACCAGCAGAUCUUUCAUUAGCCUCUGACACUGAAUGCCGAAAACUUUUCUCUAUAAAGUAGCUAGCAUUGGGUAUGUUAUUAUAGCAAAUAAAAUGAGAUCAUUUA